CACGAAGUUAGCCGGGGCUUCUUCUCCGACUACAGUCAUUAUCUUCAUCGGCGAAAGUGCUUUACAACCCUAAGGCCGUCAUCACACACGCGGCAUGGCUGGAUCAGGCUUGCGCCCAUUGUCCAAUAUUCCCCACUGCUGCCUCCCGUAGGAGUCUGGGCCGUGUCUCAGUCCCAGUGUGGCUGGUCAUCCUCUCAGACCAGCUAAGGAUCGUCGCCUUGGUGAGCCAUUACCUCACCAACUAGCUAAUCCUACGCGGGCUCAUCUUAUGGCGAUAAAUCUUUCCCCCAAAGGGCUCAUACGGUAUUAGCCAAAGUUUCCCUUGGUUGUUCCGUACCACAAGGUAGAUUCCCACGCGUUACUCACCCGUCUGCCACUCCCUGUUGCCAGGGCGUUCGACUUGCAUGUGUUAGGCCUGCCGCCAGCGUGUUCUGUAGCCAGGAGUCAACUAC
rnacentral:rRNA from 1 species